CUAACAAUGAAAAUGUGCUUUCAGGCGUGAAAGAAAUGCUCUCUUCUAAAUUCCAAAUGAAAGAUCUGGGGAAACUUAACCAUUUUCUAGGAAUAGAUUUUCUUCAAGAAAAAGAAUGUGUCAAAAUGUCACAGAAAAUAUAUAUUGAAAACAUUUUAAAAAGAUUUAACAUGCAAAACUGUAAGCCAAGGUUAACACCCUGUGAACAGAAAUGGACUCAUUCUGAUAAAUUCGAGACAUUACCAGAUGUGAGGAGAUAUCGUGAAGCGGUAGGAUGUCUUAUUUAUCUGAGCUAUUGUACGCGACCUGAUUUAAGCUAUGUUGUUAGCAAAUUGUCACAACACUUCAAUGCGCCAACCGUUGAUGAUUGGACAGCAGUGAAACAUGUUCUGAGGUAUCUAAAAGGUAGUCGAGGAAAAGAACUGUGUUUUAGGAAAUGUUCAAGUGGAAAACUAGGUCUACAAGCAUAUAGUGAUGCAGAUUGGGCAUCCGAUGUUUCUGAUAGACGCAGUAUGACAGGUUAUUGUGUAAGCCUAAAUGAAAAUGGUCCUUUGAUAUCAUGGAAAACCAAAAAGCAGACAACUACAGCACUAUCAACUUGUGAAGCCGAAUACAUGGCAUUAGCAGCAACAAUUCAGGAAUGUAUGUAUUUGACUUAUUUGAUUCGAGAUCUUGAUGAAUUUAAGUAUGAAGUACCUAUGAUAUGGGAGGACAAUCAGGGAACAAUCGCUUUGUCAAAAAAUCCAGUGAACAGACAAAGAUGUAAACACAUUGAUGUGAAAUAUCAUUUUAUAAGGUCAGCUGUACAUGAAAGGAAAGUGCUCAUUGAUUACUGUCCAACUGAGUCAAUGGUAGCAGAUAUGAUGACGAAACCAGUUUCAAAGUCUAAGUUAGACAAAUUCUCUGUAUUUGUGUUUGGAAUGUAAGAUGUUUUUUUCCGGAGGACUGUUUUUCCCCAACCUGUCUACAAGUGGGGGUGUUGGAUUGUGUGUCCACAGGUGUUUGUACUUUGCGUCACAAUAAAAAUGACGGUAAAAGGCUCCGCCCACCACCUAUCCAUGUCUCGCCAUGCAACGACUUUGUAGAUGGACUGGAGAUGUGUAGUGGAAGAGUCCUCCGUCAGGAAUGAGAUAUGUGUGUUGACUUUUUAUUCUCCCUCAAAAUUAUUAUGCCAUAACGCUGCCCAGAGCAGCUCUGCUAACAGAAAAACUCAAAAACCGGGAAUCCCCGGCAGCCUACGUCUAUUGCAGCAUAACUGAGGGAGGAUUCAGGGUCACCUGGUCCAGCCCUAACUAUAUGCUUUAGCAAAAAGGAAAGUUUUAAGCCUAAUCUUGAAAGUAGAGAUAGUGUCUGCACUCAAAAAAAUCAACUAGGGCAUGUGUUUGAUUAACACUCAUUAAAUGAUUCAUUCUUUUUAGUUGAAUAUGAAUCAGAGAAAAACUUUGAUGAGUUAAAUUCGUUCAUGACAAUCCAAUGAGAAUGAGGUCCAUCAAACCAACAGCUCUGAUAGUGUCAUGUAUUGCGCAUGCUCCACGCCCACCGGAUGCGGAAAGGUCCGUUGAGACGUUAACGAGCGCACGUGGAGUUACUUCUUUGGCAUACCUGAUAGUGAGAGUCGCUAAUUGUUGCAACAGAGCAAAAACUGAUGAGGCUAUUUUGAUUGACAAGGAAUUCCUGCGCAUAUCGACAGUACCGCUGCUAUCUAGAUUCUUUUAUGAGCUAGACUUGUACACUCCACGCAUGAUGGAGCUCUUUCGAGGCAAAGGUGGGGUGGCUGGCAGAAAAAUGAGACACAUCAUGGUGGCCAUCUCCAAGGAUGACACAAUACAUACAAGGCGAGCAUGCAUCCUGAAGUCCUUGUGUUCACCUGAACGAAGACCAUGAGAAACUUGUGAAGGAAUAUAUGAACACUGAGGCCAACACUGAAGCCAUGGAACAAACUGUGAUGGGAGUGUACGUCAUACAGCAGGAGGGUGCGGAGCCUGGAGAUGACCCAGAGAACAUCGGUGUCCUGAUUGGAGGCGUUGAGGUUCUCACUGGUUUGAGGAGCAUUGCAAUUGCUUGUGCUCUGUUAUUUGGACUGAUAUACUGUCUGAACCUAAGCUACCCACCGGAGCUCAAAUGCACUUUUGAAGUCUUGCAAAAGAUUAUCAUGAAGCUGGAUGGGCAGAGGUUGUCAUCCAAGGCACAGUUACUAAAAAAACAAGCUAAUGGGGUGAAUGAGCUUGAAACAGACUCAGGCAAGCCAGAUAUUUUUUUCAAGAUUUCUGCAAUGCAAAUAUGUGUUUACCGUUUUAAAGUUUAAAAUUGUAAGUUAUAAAAUGUUCAUAUAAACUAUGUGGUUUGCUCUGUGGCUAUUAGACAAAGAUUGUUCGUUCAUAACUUAAAGUCUUAUACACUUGAAGUGUAAACACUGAUUUUUGCCAGAUGGGCAAUUGUUACAAAGGCAAAUGCACACUGGUUUUCGCAAAUUGUUUGAGUGGAGCAGUUAUACUCAAAAUUGAAUGUUUUCUCCACACGUUAAAUAGCAUAAAGUCACUAUUAAUAGAUACAGCCUGAUUAAAUGGAGGACUAAUGUAUGAAAGCAACAUAGUAAUGUUGUAAUGUUAUAGUAAUGUUGAAUGUUAUGUCUGAGCUUUAAAUUGUGUUAAAAUUCAUAUUGUUGUUUGCAAUGCAUAUUUUACUACAUUUUAAGAAAGUUGCUUUGGGGAUAAUAUUUUUUGUCUGCAAACUAUUCAACAGACUUAUUUCAUUUUUUAUUAUUAGGGUUAUUUUAUUGUAUUUUUUCUUUUAGUCAGAAUGUCUUGAUCUGGAAGUUCUGUGGUCUUAGUAUGAGAUGGUUGAAGGGGAGAAAGCUAGGCUGAACUGGGAUCCUGCCAACUGUUUUAAGAAUGUUCAAGCAAAAUAAAAGAGAUGGUUUUGCAAGUUAUCAUUUAUGUAUGUUUCGUUAAUUUAAUUAAAAGUAAUGUUUACAUAAGCAAUACAAACAUGAUUGGUGUAAGUACUACAGACAUAAAUUACAUUUGUUCAUUCAACAAGAUUAACAUUGGUGUAACAAACAAAUAUUUUA
ensembl:lncRNA